AGGCCUUGCAGUAGUAGUUGUGGUAUACCGAGGACUCUGGUUCACCGGCACAUUGGAAGGUACUGACGUCAUAGGAGUUUUGCCCCUCAUGUCAGUCGUCUGUGAUGUUCCCGGCGUCGACUCUGGAGGCAUACCAUAACCCCACCAGUUGGGGGGAAGAUUUAACCCUGACAUUGCCGAUGCCAACAUAUCUGUCGUCAGUUUAUGCUGCCCAACUGAAAUUUGGGGGUUGGUUGCCAUCGGCACAGAUAGUGCACCGGUAGUCCCCAAUGUGCUUGGAGGGACGGCAGAUUGUGCACUUGCACUCGUCAAGGCAGCCGAUGGAGCCGUGACCUCUGGUGCUGUGGGUUGAUGAUGGGAAGGGCCCACAUAAUCCGGCGGGAUUUGUCCUUCCUUGAAAGUUCUUGCCACGGCGUUGAACACCGUGUUAGACAGUAC
rnacentral:lncRNA from 1 species